UACGUAGGGUGCAGGCGUUGUCCGGAAUUAUUGGGCGUAAAGAGCUCGUAGGCGGUCUGUCGCGUCGGCUGUGAAAACUUGGGGCUCAACCCCAAGCCUGCAGUCGAUACGGGCAGACUAGAGUCCGGCAGGGGAGACUGGAAUUCCUGGUGUAGCGGUGAAAUGCGCAGAUAUCAGGAGGAACACCGGUGGCGAAGGCGGGUCUCUGGGCCGGAACUGACGCUGAGGAGCGAAAGCGUGGGGAGCGAACAGG
rnacentral:rRNA from 1 species